rfam:Citrus sinensis cultivar Ridge Pineapple sweet orange scaffold00975_contig_5, whole genome shotgun sequence.
AUACCAUGAUGAGGACAUUUUCUAAGUAACUCCUUAAAUCUCUCCCAUGCGUCACACAAGCUCUCAUCUUCAAGUUGAUGGAAAGAUGUGAUCUCGUUUCUCGACUUU